GAUCACGAAGUUUUGUCUCUUGUUUCCAUUUCUCAGUUCAUCUUCCUCACAGCUUGAUUCCGCAGACACAGGUUUACCUCAGUCAAAUAUGAAUAUAAUGAAUAAUCUUUCUUCAACUCUAUGUAGAAGAGGGAAUCUGAGAGAGCUGAUUACCAAUGUUUCCGUCUAUAGUGGUCUUUCUGGUAGAUUCCUGUCUAUUACAAUUCUUCAUAGAAACUUGACAAAGCAAUUGCUGUAUUUUCAGUUUUACGUUGUAUUAUUACAUUUGUUUUAGUAGAAAAAGCAUAACAGAAAAUGCAUUUGUUGGAUUAUAUAGUUGGAGAUUCAUAUCUUAAAUCAACUGAUGAAGUUUUUUACCCAUGGGGUUUGAAUCUUUUACCAAUGAUUCCGUCUAUGAUAAAACCCCUGUUGUACUAGAGUUUAACGUUUAGAAAGCAGCAAUGAGUUCGUUAGUCCCUGUUCCCAUAUAGAAUUUUGGAGGAUUGUUCAUUGCGUUUUUACUUUCAUAGUGAAAUUUCAGGGUUUAUUUUCUUCA